rnacentral:rRNA from 1 species
UGGGGAAUUUUGGACAAUGGGCGCAAGCCUGAUCCAGCCAUGCCGCGUGCGGGAAGAAGGCCUUCGGGUUGUAAACCGCUUUUGUCAGGGAAGAAAUCUUCUGAGUUAAUACCUCGGGAGGAUGACGGUACCUGAAGAAUAAGCACCGGCUAACUACGUGCCAGCAGCCGCGGUAAUACGUAGGGUGCAAGCGUUAAUCGGAAUUACUGGGCGUAAAGCGUGCGCAGGCGGUUUUGUAAGACAGAGGUGAAAUCCCCGGGCUCAACCUGGGAACUGCCUUUGUGACUGCAAGGCUUGAGUGCGGCAGAGGGGGAUGGAAUUCCGCGUGUAGCAGUGAAAUGCGUAGAUAUGCGGAGGAACACCGAUGGCGAAGGCAAUCCCCUGGGCCUGCACUGACGCUCAUGCACGAAAGCGUGGGGAGCAAACAGGAUUAGAUAGCCCUGGUAGUCCACGCCCUAAACAAUGUCAACUGGUUGUUGGGAAGGUUCCUUCUCAGUAACGUAGCUAACGCGUGAAGUUGACCGCCUGGGGAGUACGGCCGCAAGGUUGAAAC